CGGUUGAUCCUGCCAGAGGCUACUGCUAUCGGGGUCCGACUAAGCCAUGCGAGUUGAGAGGGGUAAGCCCUCGGCAUAUUGCUCAGUAACACGCGGAUAACCUGCCCUUGGGUUCGGGAUAACCCCGGGAAACUGGGACUAAUACCGGAUAGGUCAAAGAAACUGGAAUGUUCUCUGGUUUAAAACUCUGGUGCCCAAGGAUGGGUCUGCGGCCUAUCAGGUAGUAGUGGGUGUAACGUACCUACUAGCCUACGACGGGUAAGGGUUGUGAGAGCAAGAGCCCUGAGAUGGAUUCUGAGACAUGAAUCCAGGCCCUACGGGGUGCAGCAGGCGCGAAAACUUUACACUGCGGGAAACCGCGAUAAGGGGACCCCGAGUGCCAGCACCUAGUGCUGGCUGUCCAGCUGUCCAAAUAACAGUUGUUAGCAAGGGCCGGGCAAGACCGGUGCCAGCCGCCGCGGUAACACCGGCGGCCCGAGUGGUAGCCGUUAUUAUUGGGUUUAAAGGGUCCGUAGCCGGCCUAUUAAGUCUCUUGGGAAAUCUGGCGACUCAAUCGUCAGUCGUCCAAGAGAUACUGGUAGGCUUGGGACCGGGAGAGGUGGGAGGUACUCCAGGGGUAGGGGUGAAAUCUCGUAAUCCUUGGGGGACCACCGAUGGCGAAGGCAUCCCACCAGAACGGGUCCGACGGUGAGGGACGAAAGCUGGGGGCACGAACCGGAUUAGAUACCCGGGUAGUCCCAGCCGUAAACGAUGCUCGCUAGGUGUCAGGUGCGGUGCGACCGCAUCUGGUGCCGCAGAGAAAUCUUGAAGCGAGUCACCUGGGAAGUACGGUCGCAAGGCUGAAACUUAAAGGAAUUGGCGGGG
rnacentral:rRNA from 1 species